GUACGGGAAUAAUUGUUGGAAACGGCAACUAAUACCGUAUACGCCCUACGGGGGAAAAAUUUAUUGCUAUUAGAUGAGCCUAUAUUAGAUUAGCUAGUUGGUGGAGUAAUAGCCUACCAAGGCAAUGAUCUAUAGCUGAUCUGAGAGGAUGAUCAGCCACACUGGAACUGAGAUACGGUCCAGACUCCUACGGGAGGCAGCAGUGGGGAAUAUUGGACAAUGGGCGAAAGCCUGAUCCAGCCAUGCCGCAUGAGUGAAGAAGGCCUUUGGGUUGUAAAGCUCUUUUAGUGAGGAAGAUAAUGACGGUACUCACAGAAGAAGUCCUGGCUAACUCCGUGCCAGCAGCCGCGGUAAUACGGAGAGGGCUAGCGUUAUUCGGAAUUAUUGGGCGUAAAGGGCGCGUAGGCUGGUUAGUAAGUUAAAAGUGAAAUCCCGAGGCUUAACCUUGGAACUGCUUUUAAAACUGCUAACCUAGAGAUUGAAAGAGGAUAGAGGAAUUCCUAGUGUAGAGGUGAAAUUCGUAAAUAUUAGGAGGAACACCAGUGGCGAAGGCGUCUAUCUGGUUCAAAUCUGACGCUGAGGCGCGAAGGCGUGGGGAGCAAACAGGAUUAGAUACCCUGGUAGUCCACGCUGUAAACGAUGAAUGUUAAAUAUGGGAAGUUUACUUUCUGUAUUACAGCUAACGCGUUAAACAUUCCGCCUGGGGACUACGGUCGCAAGAUUAAAACUCAAAGGAAUUGACGGGGACCCGCACAAGUGGUGGAGCAUGUGGUUUAAUUCGAUGCAACGCGAAAAACCUUACCACUCCUUGACAUG
rnacentral:rRNA from 1 species